UGUUAAAGACGCAUUCAUCCAUAGACAGUAGGUGUUUUACAUAAAUCCUACCGAGGUUGAAGAGAAAAGCUUAUUUAAAAUAUAAAGCUCUCUUCACGCCUGUGGAGUGAGCUUUUUUGAUACGAUU
rfam:Acetobacterium bakii strain DSM 8239 contig_15, whole genome shotgun sequence.